UAGAAGAUGACUCAAGUAUGUCCUUUGGAAUAGGCAAUGAGCAAUAAUAAACAAGCAAAGCAAAAGAAGAAAGUCAACAAAAGCGGAUACCGGAUGCCAAUUAUUGGACUUAUACCAAUCUCCUAAAACAGAACUGGAUAUCAGAGGCCACUCUAUGGACUUAUACCAAUCUCCUCAACAAGAAAUAAAAAGUGGAUACCGGAUGCCAAUCUAUCUGGGCUUAUACCAAUCUCCAACAAAGAAAGCAAACACUUGGAUGUCAGAUGCCAAUCUAUCUGGGCUUACUCUAACCUCCAACAUAUGAUCAUAGGAGAACA
rnacentral:lncRNA from 1 species